UAGCAGCACGUAAAUAUUGGAGUUCACCACUGCUGAAGCCUCCAGUAUUGACGGUGCUGUUGA
ensembl:miRNA microRNA 16-1